rnacentral:tRNA from 1 species
CAGGGAGACAACACAAUGAUUUUGAUGCCUGAGUACUUUUAUUCUUAGGCCGAAAUCCUGUCACCUUAGGUCGAUCGGUACCUCAGCUUUGAAGUUAAGAAUCAGCAGCAAUGUUGAUUGCUUGAUGGAGAUUUUCAGUUCCUAAACUUUGUCUAGGUCACACCCCAAAAGGGAUGAGACUCCUGGGCCAUUAGCUCAGGUGGUUAGAGCGCACCCCUGAUAAGGGUGAGGUCCCUGGUUCAAGUCCAGGAUGGCCCAUUCGGUGUUGGGGGUUUAGCUCAGUUGGUAGAGCGCCUGCUUUGCAAGCAGGAUGUCAGGAGUUCGAGUCUCCUAACCUCCACUGACCGAACUUGAUUCCCAUCUCCAAUUUUUUUGGAGUUGAGCUCGAUUGGAGUGUGAUUUAGAUGUGUCCGCUGGAUGACCCCAGCUUCCUGUCAUUCCAAGUUUUAGGUUGAUGCCUUGAAUUUGGUUGAUAAGAUGCUGGGCUCGGAUCAAGUGAUCAAGCAAUUGAUGAUUUGAUUUGAAGUUCUAGCAGAACCUUGACAACUGCAUAGGUGAAGUCUGGAAAAAACAAAGCAUCUUACAGAUGCAUUGUUUUGAAUCUGAUCUUCUGAAAGGGAGAUUGGAUCUAGAACAAUGAAAAUUCUUUUGAGCAAGAGCCGAGACUCUUGAGCGUUCUUUGAUUGGUGUCGAGCCAAUCAGAGUUUGAUCUUGUUUUUAGCAAUAAAAACUUGAGAAUCUGCUUUCAGCGGCGGUAAGCGUUCAAGAGGUUAAUU